UACCAGCACCCCGAGUGGUCGGGACGAUUAUUGGGCCUAAAGCAUCCGUAGCCGGUACUGCAAGUCCCCCGUUAAAUCCAGCUGCUCAACAGAUGGGCCGCGGAGGAUACUACAGAGCUAGGAGGCAGGAGAGGCAAGCGGUACUCAGUGGGUAGGGGUAAAAUCCGUUGAUCCAUUGAAGACCACCAGUGGCGAAGGCGGCUUGCCAGAAUGCGCUCGACGGUGAGGGAUGAAAGCUGGGGGAGCAAACCGG
rnacentral:rRNA from 1 species